AUGGGGUGCGAUGCAACACAUGCACAAACCGUAGAGUGCAGCGCAUGCACCAACCACCGGAUGCAAUGCAAUGCAUGCACAAGCCAUAAGGUGCAAUGCAAUGCACCAAUCAUAGGAUGUAAUGCAACACAUGCACUGACCGUGGGGCAGCAUGGGAGGGUGGGAGCACCCAGCAGACCCCGCCCCCCCCGGGGUGCAGCAGGAGCUGGGGGGGCCCUCAGCACCCAGCUGCCUUCGCAGCGGAGAGGGCUGGGAAUUUGCAGUGAGAGCAAGCCUCCUGCUUUCCGGCUGACACCACCACACCACAGCACGGAGACAGCAGCAUUGGUCGCCUGGUGCAGCAAAGCCCAGGGCCCCAUGGGGACCUCACCCCGACAUCUCCAUCACAGCCACAAAGCAGCACAGCCCACGGCCGGACCAGGAUCCAGGGGAUGCUUCUACCCACGCUGCAGCAGGGAUGGCUGGGGCUGCUCCUGGCACAGCACCACCUCCAGCACUCAGAUCCAAACGCCUUCGCGUGGAGCUGUGCUCUGCAGGAGGCUCGGUCCAUGCACGUGGAGCUGGGCCCUGUGCCUGGGGGUGGCACGAGGCCCAGUGACCCCUCACACUGAGCCACCCCGGGGCUGCGGCACCGAGGGCGCUGCCCCAUGGGGAGGUAGGAGCGGGUGGUUCCCCCAGAACCGAGGGCAGUUCUGUUUAAACAGAGAAGAAAUCAGGUCCCAGUUCAACGUCAGGCAGCGCUCUGCUCCGAGCGCAUCCCAUGGUGCCGGUGCCGGGCAGGGCAGGACCCCCAGCACCCAGUGCUACCAGCAGCUGCACAUCCCCAGCCCAACCAACCCAAGACCAGCCCUCACAUGGGGUGUGGGCUCCGGGCUCCGCUCAGGGUUUUGUGGCCAAUUUGGAUGAGAGCAAACGCUGCGCCCAAGCAGCAACCAUCACUGCCGGGCCGCGCUCCUGGCGGUGCCAUGGCAGCACGGAGCGCAGCGGUGUUAUCUCCCUCCCACAAACAGCCCCGGCCCCGGCCCCCCCCCCCCUCCCAAACAACAUCCACCCGAGAGCUGAGGCUCUGAGCGCAGCUCUUUAAUCUCCAGCAAGCCUUUGACAACCUGUCUCGUCCCGGCUUUUAGCUGUGCGAGAGCUGCUCGCUAAUGGAGCAUUAACCUUGGAGAGCUUCUGCAAUUACUCCAACACUAAUUCUGACAGUUUUUGGUGUAUCUGUUUGUUCUUUUGACAGGCAAAAGGAAUUUCUUUUUAAAGGCUGUUUGAUACAUUUGAGACCUUCUGUCCACAUCUCCCUUUUUUCUGCUGGAUGUGAAGGUGGGGGAGAGGAGCGGAGGUGGGGGGGGGGGGCUGUUUUCCUCCGCACACAUCAGCGGAGGUGCGAGCGGAGAUCUCUCCUCCCCCCCAGCCCCCUCUGCCCCGCGUUAAGUCACAGAAGCGUUUGGUCUCUCCUGACCUCAUUAGGGUAAUUAGUAAACCUUUUGAAGCUGGGAGAAUGGCUGCGAGCUGUGGGAAAGUGAGGAGAGCAAAGAGCUGUGAAAGGAGCGGGUGGGGGCAGGAAGGGGGAGAGGAGCGCCCACAGAGCACAGGGGGUGACCUGGGGCAGGGGGGGGGGACCCAAAAGGCUGGGGUGGGGGGGUCCCAGUGCCAGGGGGGGUCCCAGCCCCAGCCCCACACUGCGGCACCCGCCCACAGAGAGCAGCGGCCGUGGGCCCAGAGUUUGCACUCUGGCUGCGCUGUGACGUGGGAGGGGUGGGAGCGGACACGGCGCACACCCCCAGCGCUGCGCAGAGCCCCGGCUGCGGAAAAGGCGAAGUUAUAACGUGGGUAAAACGUCAGGUUUCAGCGCCCAGGGGGGUUUGGUCACAACCAGACGCAGGAGCGGUGCCGCUUGUUGGCAGAGAGAGGGGCGGCACGCGCUCAGCUCGGGCCGAGCAACGAACCAGUGAGGGCUAUUUCAAGCACACGAGGUUUUUCCCCUUUAAAAGAGCGAGAGUAAUUAACCAGCAGAGCGCAUGAGCCGUGCAGCGGGGACGCUCCAUCCGCCGGUGCCCUCGGACGAAGGUUGGCACCGCUUCCAGCAGAGCUCCAGCACGCAGCACUGGGGCCACCGUGCCUGCAGAUGGACGGGUACCCCCGACUGCAAAGAGAGCAAGGGACCCCACAGCUGGGGGUCACAGCGAGGGGACGUCGCCACGGGAGCGCGUUCCGGCCACGCUCGGUGCCGCUCUGUGCUCAGUUGGCAGCCACAACCCAAACCACGCACGCGGGAGCCAAAGGGUUCCUGGGAACCGGGCGCCGUGCCCCAGCAAUCAGCCCUGACGUGUUCCGGAUGCUAAUUAACACCGCCGGGAAUUCCUACCAGGCAGGGGUGUCCCAGCCCCCCCCCCCCCCCCCGGGAUCCCACAGCCACAGGCCUGGACCUGCUGGUUCGCACAGGUGGGCACCGCAGCCCCGGCCCCCCCUGAGCCCCCCGCUUUGAUCUGAUGAUGCGAAGCAGAGGACACCAAAAACGCGACACCUCGAGCCACUCGUGACGCCGGGGUCACCUUCCGCCUUCCCACGGACAGAGCCCCUUCAGUGCCCGCUCAGCCUUCGAUGGCAAAAAAAAAAACCCAAACCACAACAACUGCUGCGUGGGUUCCUCCUCCUCCAAUUAGCGCCCGCUCGUCUAAAUAAAUAAAUAAGGAACCAGAGGACGUGGUUCGCC
rnacentral:lncRNA from 1 species